rnacentral:lncRNA from 10 species
GUGUGGACAGGCCGAUGGAAGAAUGUUGGACCAGCUUUAAGAAUGGGCUGUUCUAAGUCAUGAAUAUUGUAGGAAGCAGCUCUAAGGACCACAGGGCUGGAGGGUGCACAGGAAGGGGCCAGUGCAUACAGGUGUCCAAACAGUGUCAUCCGGUGUCCUGACAUGCGGCCCCAAUGGACUGAUCCAGGGUGGAAAGGAAGAGUGAGAAGAAAUCAGACAGAAGAAUUCAGGAGAUGUGGCAACAGAGUGGAUGUAGCAGAAGGGACAUAGAGAGUGCCUAAAGAUGAGUCUUUGGUCAGCAUGUGAUGAAAAGAAUGAAGACACUGGGGAAGUGGGGAGCAGAAGCGGAUGUGGGCCCAGGAGGAAGAAGGUAGGUUUGGACUGGGGCAUGCUGAGGUCAGUAGCAACAUCAAAGUCCUGAGCACCCUCAUAUUGUUGCAGAUUCCAGAGAGCAGAGAUGGCAAAAAGAUGCAUGGAAGAGAGACACAGCAGGGUCGGGUUCUGGCCUCAGGAGCCAAGGGGGAAGUGCCUGAGGAGACCCCCAAAUGAGGCCUGUGUCAAUGAGGUCUUUAGGGGACUGGUUUCCAUGUAUGCCAGGCCAUACUCCCUGGAUUCCCAGCAUUGAGAAGACCAAACACUUCUACACAUUUAUUACUGAAGCCCCCUGCAAGCUGAAGGCGGAGGAAGUGGCCAAUCUCCUAAGCCGUGUGUGGCUGAGGCAGUUGUCAGAGCUGUGAUGAGGGAAAUGCUCAUUAUUCUUCUAUCCCUCACUUGGCCAAAUAAAGAACUUCUUAGAAUUCUUCCCCUGUGACAAAACGGGGCUGUGAUUUGGAAAGCCUCAGGCAAGUUUGCUAGGGCCGCGGUAACCAAGCACCACAGACUGGGUGGCUUCAAAACUGGACGGCUUCAACAGAAAGUUAUUGUUGCUCAGUUCUGGAAGCCAGAAGUCCAAAAUCAAGGUACUUGCAGGGUCAGUUCGA